UGGGGAAUAUUGCACAAUGGGCGAAAGCCUGAUGCAGCAACGCCGCGUGAGUGAUGAAGGCCUUCGGGUUGUAAAGCUCUGUCUUCUGGGACGAUAAUGACGGUACCAGAGGAGGAAGCCACGGCUAACUACGUGCCAGCAGCCGCGGUAAUACGUAGGUGGCAAGCGUUGUCCGGAUUUACUGGGCGUAAAGGAUGCGUAGGCGGAUACUUAAGUCAGAUGUGAAAAUCCCGGGCUUAACUUGGGAACUGCAUUUGAAACUGGGUAUCUAGAGUGCGUGAGAGGAAAGUGGAAUUCCUAGUGUAGCGGUGAAAUGCGUAGAGAUUAGGAAGAACACCAGUGGCGAAGGCGACUUUCUGGACCGUAACUGACGCUGAGGCAUGAAAGCGUGGGGAGCAAACA
rnacentral:rRNA from 1 species